UACGUAGGUGGCAAGCGUUAUCCGGAUUUAUUGGGUGUAAAGGGCGUGUAGGCGGGAGCGCAAGUCAGAUGUGAAAACUCAGGGCUCAACCCUGGGCCUGCAUUUGAAACUGUGUUUCUUGAGUGCUGGAGAGGCAAUCGGAAUUCCGUGUGUAGCGGUGAAAUGCGUAGAUAUACGGAGGAACACCAGUGGCGAAGGCGGAUUGCUGGACAGUAACUGACGCUGAGGCGCGAAAGCGUGGGGAGCAAACAGG
rnacentral:rRNA from 1 species